rnacentral:tRNA from 1 species
GUCUUGAUAGUAUAAAUAUUAUCUG